UACGGAGGGGGCUAGCGUUGCUCGGAAUUACUGGGCGUAAAGCGCACGUAGGCGGCUUUGUAAGUUAGAGGUGAAAGCCCGGAGCUUAACUCCGGAACUGCCUUUAAGACUGCAUCGCUAGAAUCGUGGAGAGGUGAGUGGAAUUCCGAGUGUAGAGGUGAAAUUCGUAGAUAUUCGGAAGAACACCAGUGGCGAAGGCGACUCACUGGACACGUAUUGACGCUGAGGUGCGAAAGCGUGGGGAGCAAACAGG
rnacentral:rRNA from 1 species